CAAGGAAGGCAGCAGGCACGCAAAUUACCCAAUCCCAGCUCUGGGAGGUAGUGACGAAAAAUAACAAUGCGGGACUCUUCCGAGUCUGCGUAAUUGGAAUGAGCACACUUUAAAUCCUUUAGCAACAACCAAUUGGAGGGCAAGUCUGGUGCCAGCAGCCGCGGUAAUUCCAGCUCCAAUAGCGUAUAUUAAAGUUGUUGCGGUUAAAAAGCUCGUAGUUCGAGUUCAGUUUCGGACUGGGGUGGGAGGUCACCGCCCGGUGCUUGCCCCCUAGGCUCCGAACAGCUUCCGUGAGUGGAAGCCAAGCCGGUUCUGACGGGGUGCUCUUUACCGAGUGUCCCGUGCGGCCGGCCAGUUCACCUUGAAUAAAUGAGAGUGCUCAAAGCAGGCUACUCUGGAAUACAAUGCCGGAAUUUGGUUGCAUGGAAUGAUGGAAGAUGAUCUCGGUUCCAUUUUGUUGGUGGUGGGAGCCCGAGGUAAUGAUUGAGAGGGACUGUCGGGGGCAUCCGUACUACGACGCGAGAGGUGAAAUUCAGUGACCAUCGUAGGACGAACAACAGCGAAAGCAUUUGCCAAGAAUGUCUUCGUUGAUCAAGAACGAAAGUUAGAGGAUCGAAGGCGAUCAGAUACCGCCCUAGUUCUAACCCUAAACGAUGCUGACUAGCAAUUCGCCGUCGUUAUUCCCAUGACGUGGCGAGACGCCCCCGGGAAACCUCAAGUUUUUGAGUUCCGGGGGUAGUAUGGUUGCAAAAGUGAAACUUAAAGGAAUUGACGGAAGGGCACCACCAGGAGUGGAGCCUGCGGCUUAAUUUGACUCAACACGGGAAAGCUCACCAGGCCCGGACACCAGAAGGAUUGACAGAUUAAGAGCUCUUUCUCGAUUUGGUGGGUGGUGGUGCAUGGCCGUUCUUAGUUGGUGGAGUGAUUUGUCUGGUUAAUUCCGGUAACGAACGAGACUCUGGCCUACUAAAUAGUGGACGUUGGUUUUGGUGCAUGGGCCACGUUCGACACAGUCUUCUUAGAGGGAUGAGCAGCGAGUAUAGCUGCAGGAGAUUGAGCAAUAACAGGUCUGUGAUGCCCUUAGAUGUCCUGGGCCGCACGCGCGCUACACUGAAUGGGUUAGCGGGUUGUCCUUGUCCGAGAGGAGCGGGAAAUCGCGUGAAAACCAUUCGUGAUAGGGAUUGGGGCUUGCAAUUGUUUCCCAUGAACGAGGAAUUCCCAGUAAGCGCAAGUCAUCAGCUUGCGUUGAUUAAGUCCCUGCCCUUUGUACACACCGCCCGUCGCUACUACCGAUUGAAUGAUUUAGUGAGGCCUUCGGACUGGCGGUCUUGGACUGGGUUGUGCGGUUACUUGCAGCAAUGCGGUGCCGUGGACUCGCCUAGACGGGCCGGAAAGAUGUCCAAACUUGAUCAUUUAGAGGAAGUAAAAGUCGUAACAAGGUUUCC
rnacentral:rRNA from 1 species